GCUGGGCCCAGAGAAGCUUCCCCCCCAUGGCAGGAGAGAGCAGGGAAGGCAGAGCAGGGCUGAGGCAACAAAAGACUCUGGGUUUGAGGGCCUGCUGCCUCUGCUCAGAUGAGUAUCUGGGGUGAGCUAUGUGUGUCCCUUGACUACCAGCUUGACCUUUGGCUGUCUUGGGGGAGAUGGUCUGUGGGACCACCCCAAAAAACACCCUGGGCUAUGAACUGUAAAGGGCAAAGAUGCACGGUCCUCUUCUUUUGUAAAUUCACGUGACUGAAUAAAAAGUAAAUAAUAACAUUGACCCUCCCUUUCUAUCAACUCUCGCCCCAGUUCUCACCCCUGCCUUUAAGAACCCACUUUCCUUACUCCUGGGAAGAAAGAAAGCAGCUCUUUCUGCUGAUUGCAAAUGAUCCUAGUGAUAACCCUGAGUUCUAGUUACACAAACGAAAGGGAAUCUUGUGAUCAGACCCAGAUUCGCUGUGUCACUCGUAUCCACCUGUAUACAGUUAAAACCUCUCACCGAACUAGAGAUCCAUUUGUACAUGUAGCAGUCGUCUGAGCACAGUGUAACCUUGGAUACCAAGAAACCCAACUUUCUCAGUCUCGUUGCUAAGGCAACGGGACAGAGUGGGUGUGGGGGAGCCCAGCAUGUCUAUCUACAUGCUGUGCUUACCAGCAGGAGGAAUGGGAUGGAGGGAUGGGGAGGGUCUUGGGCCGCCCACCUCUCCGAGGCCUUAACUGCAAAGGCCGCAGGGAUAGUGUAAUGUCCUCUGUCACUGAUAGCCGGGGAACCUCUAAAGCCCAGUGCCCUUGUUCUCCUUCAGGACGCGGAGGGAAAAGAGGGUCCCUAAUGCCAUCUGGACCGUCGUGGAGAGUCACUCUCAUGUGCCUUCCAUCCAGGCAGUGCCUCCAGGGCCAGGCCUUCACGACCCCGAACCACCUGUAUCCACCCUAUUCAGUGUCUUCAUCUUCCAAGGUCCCAGAUUUCUGAAGCCCUAGGGCUGCCUGUCUUGGUGGCCACCACAUGGGCACUCUAGCUCCCAUCGCCUUGCCAGGAAGGGUAAGGAAACACCCAGGCUUCAAACAUAGGAGCCCUGGCUCUGGGUGCCCCAUCUUGAUUGUCCCCAGUGCACCUCCUUUUUUCUGGUUUUCCCAUUGUCCUAGACCCACACCUAUUUCUUCCUUUCAACUGCGAACACCCUCUCCUCUGUCAUUCUGUUGAGAACAGUGAGAACCUCCAAGUGCUCCCUGGUGCUGAGGCCUACAAGAAAAGGUUGGACGGGGUGCAUUUUGAGCUGAUCCCCCUUCUGCCCACUUGCCCUGUAAACAGGAGCCACCUGCCAUUCCUCCUUCAUCUCACAGCUUGGAAGGUGAACCAUGCACCAGGGAAAUGGAAUCUGCAGAGAUGCAUUUCCUGCACCUUAGGCCAUCCCUGCAUCCCUUCAAUCUCAGGAUUCUCCAUCAUCUCCUGCUGGGUGCUCUGAGGACACAGCCUGUGCAGAAACAGAACCAGGCAACACUACCCAGGAGCAUUUGGUGGGUGCUGGGGAAGUACUUCCCCACGAUGCUAAUGAUGGCAACUUGGCGCUGAGAAGCUCGUUAGCAAAAGCAUUGAAGACGCCUGCCAUAGCUUUCAAAUGCUGACAAUCCGUAAAUUGAAAUUAACAACGAAUAAAAAGAUAAGGAAAGCGCA
ensembl:lncRNA